rnacentral:misc_RNA from 1 species
AAAAAAUCAACACAUUUAACAACAUUCAGGUGAAAUAAUUUCAUGUUAAUACAUAAUUGUCAUAAAAAUGACAACUGCUUUCAGUACUAAUAAUCAAAGGUAAAAUUUUCUUAUGAGUAAUGAGUCUACAUACUGUAAGGUUAGAGAAAACUCGCGUAAACAGGUUUUUCUCUUGUACCUGCUUUAAAAUCAAAUUAGAAAAAUGAUUUUUCUUCAGAAUCAUGGACCUUCUACUGAUGCUGGCCUGCUUCCAAGCCAACAUGAAGUGAACACCAAGAAUCGAGACCAAUGACCAUUUCCAAAGGCUUAUGCUUUGGUAAGGUCAAGGUUCGGUAAAAUGAAAAUAAGGAUAUUUUACCGAGCUAUAAGCUGAUCGAGCUUCAUUUGCUCCAUCCAUGCACCAAGUUGAUCAUAUUGUUCAAUCUGGGAACCAGAUGUUGAGCCCUCGCUGAUAUCUGCACCAGAAUCUGUAAGGCCUGAUACUCGAGAUGCAGAUUUGUUCUUAGCUUCCUGUGGUGAUUCUUUGACAAGAGAUUGGACCCAAGAUAGAUCAGGCUCUUCUCCAUUGUUGGCAAGCUCAAAUGAUGAUGAUCUCCUUAGCCUACCAAACUCCUCGCUAUUGACAGCCCAAUCUGGCUUUCCUGGAGCUAUACCCCAGUUCGACCAAGUAUCUGAGGGAGAGCCAGCAAUGGCAGAAGCAGCACUGGAGCCAAGAUCACGAGAGCUGAGACUCCUAAAUUGAUGUUGCUUGUCACCUUGAGCAAGCAUUGAGACACGGGAACUCAUGGGUGAGAUUGGUUCCAUUCCUCGGGGAGACAUACUCCGCGAUGAUGGAACUCCAAAGGAGCCCUGCAAUAUAGGAUUGUCGACAUUUCUUGGUGAAAAACUUGUAUUAAUCGGAGACAACAUGGCCUUCUGCUGCUGCAGGUAUUGGUUGAAAACCGCAGACUUGUGGGUUGGGGAAAAAACAGCUUGAGAUAAAGCUUGGUCAGAAAAUCUAGGAGAUGACCCCUCAGCAGAAAAUAAGUCCUCGAGAUUCGAAGGGGUUAAGGUCUUAGGACGAACUGAACGAUUAAAAGAAUUAGCAUGAGUGCUGGACUGCGAUAGGCAAGACAGUCCAUUUAGUAGCUGCUGUUGCUGCACAUCAAAAUCAGACAACAUAGUCAGGUCUUUAGCAGGGAUAUCUCUUGCAUUUAGUGAUGAACGCAAGCGACUGGACUGAAGAUUGCUGCCAGGAAGAUGCAAAGCUGGGACGUUUUGUGGUGGCCAACCCAUGUUUGCAACACCAUUAGCCGAGGGUGACA